UGAGAGAGGGAAAGCAGCAGGUUUCUGGGCACCUGCCUUGGAUCGUGACCUUCCCUGGGAGAGCAGGACCAUCUCUGGAGCUCUCCCCUCCACCACAUGGGAAGAUGCCUCCCACCCCGGGAGGAAGGCACGACUGGACUCCAACCAUCAAUCAUGUCCUGCUGGGAAGGCUUCCUUUCUAGAUAACCUUUUUCCUGCUGCCCAACAUGCUUAUCUGCUGCAGACAGACUGGCAAGAUGAACCGGAAAGCUGAUACCUUAUCUUUCCUUCUCAAGGAGCUUAGUUAAGAGCUGGAAUGUGUUGCGAUGGGCUCUCCUCCUCUUUUCCCAGCCCCUCCAGCUUUCUCACCCCCAUAUCCCAACACACACCCCCCCCAUCUUGACCCUGCAGCAGCGAAGGGGUUUGACUCCACCACACCAGGCAAAAUCCUCUUCUCACCCGGCGGAGCAUCUACCCGACGCCUUGGAACACGGGGCAGCAGGAAAGCUGAGCAGGAGCUGACCUUGGGCUGCUGUCUGAGUUAAAUGGAAAACUAGAAGGACCAUGACCUGACCUGUUAAGGUGCAAGGUGGUGCAGGUCUUCUGAAGAGCAGCACAGGAAUUCAUCACCUUAUGCCAAGGUUUGACGAUGUCCCCAUGGACCAGGAUGUUGUGGAGCCACACUCUUCCCUUUGGUGGUAGGGACAGACCAUGUCCUUUCAUUAUUGUGCCCAGCUCUGAACAGAGAAGAGAAGCCAAGCCCCAGUGCAGCCCUGAGCCAAGAGACUUGCAAAGCUUUGUAGAGCUGGCCCUGGCACACUGUUGGGCACAGGUGGAAAAGCUGUUGCAUUAGUUUUUUCUUUAAUUGGCACAUCUAUUCCCUUGGCCUUGGAUUGUUGCCUUGGAGAUGCACAAGAGACCUUUGGAGAACUGCUUAUUACAGCAGCAGGUGUGCACAACACUGACCUGGAGAAGCAUGAGUCACCUGCUAUGGUUUGGGUUGUAGGUGGCUACAUGAGUCACUGAAAGUGAGGGGAUCCCACACUGUCUGGUCUCCUGAAGCCUCUGGGUGCUUGUUGUUAUUAUGCAUCAAGAGCAGGCUGUACAAAAUGGUCCAGUUUCUUCCUCCUCAGCUGACACGGGCUGCGAAGCAGCAUGGUGCUGCAGAGUAGGGUGGCUGAAUAUGAAAACCAGCAGCUGCAUUCAGAGGCCCUCCUCAGAAAUCUGGCUGGCCUGGAGCUUCUCUCAUGGAGGGCAGUGAGGUUUGUAUGGGCAGGAAGCAAGUUAGAAGAGCUGUUUGUGUGUGCGUGCAUGUGUGUACUUGUCUGACCAAUGGAGAAAGAAAAACUAAACACACCAGACUAACACCCCAGCUGCCUGAGUUGGUGUGAGUGGGAGUUUCCCAAUGUCAGGAAGGAGGGUGGGCUCCUGCACACAAGUCGCUCUGUGGAGAGAAGCAGAGGCCAUUGGCCUGCUGUGUCUAGACAGAAAAAACAUGCUGCAGAAAGAUGAGAUGAGACACCAAAGAGGCAGGAGUAGAGUGUAAUACUUUGAUAUCCAGAAAAGGAGGGGAUCUGACAACCAGAUGAUGGUUUUCAGCGGCGCUGGUGUCUCUUGGUAGCUCAGUGCCUGGCAACUUCCAUAGCAGUGCAGAUCAACUGUAGGAACAUCACAUAUGGUCCAGAAAGCUGUUCAUGCAUUUCCUCCCUCUGCACUACUCGAUACUGUUUGAGAUCAGAUUAUACCCCUCAUGAGCAGCGAUCUAGGUGCUAGGCCUUAUGCUUUUCCUGUAACCUGGGGAGAGGUGGGGACUGCUCCUCCUCAAGUGCUGCCCGUGCCAGGGAAAUGUACUGCAAAAUCCCUCUAAAGCCACCUUCCCUUCAUGGGCAAGGACAUGCCAGGGUGACAGCACAUGACUGGUGACCCAUGAAUAAGCUACAGUGCACUUGCAAGAGGCCAGCACAUACACAGGUGCUUGUCCCUCAUGUAGUACAUAUAUGUGGACAUACGUAUUUUAUAUAUACAUAUAUGAUAUGUGUGCCAUUAUUGCAAACUGCUGCACAGUCCCUAAGAAAUAAAUGCAUGCAUACCU